rnacentral:rRNA from 1 species
UACGUAGGGUGCGAGCGUUGUCCGGAAUUAUUGGGCGUAAAGGGCUCGUAGGCGGUUUGUCGCGUCGGGAGUGAAAACCCAGGGCUUAACCCUGGGCCUGCUUCCGAUACGGGCAGACUAGAGGUAUGCAGGGGAGAACGGAAUUCCUGGUGUAGCGGUGAAAUGCGCAGAUAUCAGGAGGAACACCGGUGGCGAAGGCGGUUCUCUGGGCAUUACCUGACGCUGAGGAGCGAAAGUGUGGGGAGCGAACAGGAUUAGAUACCCCAGUAGUCC